CCGGCACUUGUCGCUAGCUUCUAGUCACCUCGGCUCUUCCUCAGCCCCGGGAGGGAACUUCCUUCUCCAUCAGGGCCAAGUCUGAGACUGAGCUAGCCUUCCAAGAGUAGAGCUGCAGUAUGCUUCAACCUGUGAUCUCCGUUAACAAGGCCACUGGCUUGACUAUUGCAGGAGAGCCUGAUAAGAUGUUUAAAAGACUGCUUAUAAAUCAAUAAGGAAAAGAUGAACGUGACCCCACCUCUUUGCUGUGAGAGCUCCUCUCCACCACUUCGUC
rnacentral:lncRNA from 10 species